CAACCAUAUGAUACACAGCUUCUGGAUGUCCUUCUUCCACUCCUUAAGCACCUCUCUAAUCAGAAAGAUGUAAGACCUGUGUUAUAUGAAAGAUUCCACAUGCCUGAAUGGUUUCAAAAUCAGGGAAUCCCUGCUUCUGGUUGGACAUAGUAGGAUAAGGAUAGAAUGCAAAUGAAAGCUACCAUUCUUUUACCCUCCACACAGGCAGCAUUUUGUGCAGAAGACAACUUUUUGUAUAGCAUUAAUUUGUAUGCCAUAGGCGUUCAAGAAAGUCAUGCGUUUUCAGAAAAAUAAUUCAUCUGUGCUUUCAUCGGGCAAAUAGUCACAAAGGUUAUUUCUUUAGAUUUGUUAAUACUCUGAUUCUUAUUGUAAUUCUGUUUACAUGUUUUCAUUCCUGUUUAGUGUUUAUGUAUCUCUCUGAGAGUCUCAGUUCUGUAAAUUGUACUUUAUCAAUGAUUAUUAAUAGUCCACACAUUUCUGAUUGUUUUAAAAAAUCUAAAGAAAUAACCUUUGUGACUAU
rnacentral:misc_RNA from 1 species